UUCCGGUUGAUCCUGCCGGACCUGACUGCUAUCGGAUUGAUACUAAGCCAUGCGAGUCAUUGUAGCAAUACAAGGCAUACGGCUCAGUAACGCGUAGUCAACCUAACCUAUGGACGGGAAUAACCUCGGGAAACUGAGAAUAAUGCCCGAUAGAACAUUAUGCCUGGAAUGGCUUAUGUUCCAAAUGAUUUAUCGCCGUAGGAUGGGACUGCGGCCUAUCAGUUUGUUGGUGAGGUAAUGGCCCACCAAGACUAUUACAGGUACGGGCUCUGAGAGGAGUAGCCCGGAGAUGGGUACUGAGACACGGACCCAGGCCCUAUGGGGCGCAGCAGGCGAGAAAACUUUGCAAUGUGCGAAAGCACGACAAGGUUAAUCCGAGUGAUUUGUGCUAAACGAAUCUUUUGUUAGUCCUAGAACCACUAACGAAUAAGGGGUGGGCAAGUUCUGGUGUCAGCCGCCGCGGUAAAACCAGCACCUCAAGUGGUCAGGAUGAUUAUUGGGCCUAAAGCAUCCGUAGCCGGCUCUGUAAGUUUUCGGUUAAAUCUGUACGCUUAACGUACAGGCUGCCGGGAAUACUGCAGAGCUAGGGAGUGGGAGAGGUAGACGGUACUCGGUAGGAAGUGGUAAAAUGCUUUGAUCUAUCGAUGACCACCUGUGGCGAAGGCGGUCUACCAGAACACGUCCGACGGUGAGGGAUGAAAGCUGGGGGAGCAAACCGGAUUAGAUACCCGGGUAGUCCCAGCUGUAAACUAUGCAAACUCAGUGAUGCAUUGGCUUGUGGCCAAUGCAGUGCUGCAGGGAAGCCGUUAAGUUUGCCGCCUGGGAAGUACGUACGCAAGUAUGAAACUUAAAGGAAUUGGCGGGGGAGCACCACAAGGGGUGAAGCCUGCGGUUCAAUUGGAGUCAACGCCGGG
rnacentral:rRNA from 1 species